AACACAUGCAAGCCGAGCGGAAAGGCCACUUCGUGGUACUCGAGCGGCGAACGGGUGAGUAACACGUGAGUAAUCUGCCCCUGGCUUUGGGAUAGCCACCGGAAACGGUGAUUAAUACCGGAUAUGACAGCUUCUCGCAUGAGAUGGUUGUGGAAAGUUUUUCGGCCAGGGAUGUGCUCGCGGCCUAUCAGCUUGAUGGUGAGGUAAUGGCUCACCAUGGCUUCGACGGGUAGCCGGCCUGAGAGGGUGACCGGCCACACUGGGACUGAGACACGGCCCAGACUCCUACGGGAGGCAGCAGUGGGGAAUAUUGGACAAUGGGCGGAAGCCUGAUCCAGCAACGNCGCGUGAGGGAUGACGGCCUNCGGGUUGUAAACCUCUUUCGGUGGGGACGAAGCGCAAGUGACGGUA
rnacentral:rRNA from 1 species